UUUAGCAUAAUGUCGUCUAGUAGAAUUAAGCAUAAAUAGUGCCAAUUUAAAUAAAGAAGUUCAAUUGUUUUUACACAAUUCAAAUAUAAGGCGUUUAAUCGUAAAUACAGGUUGAAUGUAUGUUGAAUCCGUUUCAAAAACUUCAUCAAGAUGCAGAUCAGACGUGUCAAUAUUUUUAGCUGAGUUAAUGAAAAUUCUUUAUUAUCGCGCUUAGUACCCCUCAAGGUAAUAACUGGAACUGACAGUGCAGUGGCAUUGGAAAUCAAAGCGCCUCAACGCCUCGAAAUAGAGCUAUGUGAGUAAAAUACCACGAACUCACAUACAUAUUCUGUCACAGAGCUGUUUUAAGCUGCGUGAUUAAAGAGAUAAGGACCGCAUCUUUGAAACAUCUCAAAUAAAUA